rnacentral:tRNA from 1 species
CAGGGAGACAACAAAAUGUUUAAUAUUAUUAUUUUGUCACCUUAGGUCGAUCGGUAUCUCACAUUCUUAAUUCGUUAAGGAUUUUAUUUCCUAAGUUUUUUCUAGGUCACACCCAUUUUCCCUGGGCCAUUAGCUCAGGUGGUUAGAGCGCACCCCUGAUAAGGGUGAGGUCCCUGGUUCAAGUCCAGGAUGGCCCAUCUCUCUAUGUUGGGGGUAUAGCUCAGUUGGUAGAGCGCCUGCUUUGCAAGCAGGAUGUCAGCGGUUCGAGUCCGCUUACCUCCACUGAUUACCACCUCUUCCAUAGUUAAUAAAAUCAGGGAAUUAUUCAAGUGCUGAUCAAAUUCUGAACGAAUCUAGCUUCCUAAUGUAACUAUUAAGAUGCUGGACUCAUUGAAUUAAUUUCAUUGUUUUCAGAGAACCUUGACAACUGCAUAGAUUAUUUUUAAAGACAAUAAGCAUCUUUAAUGAUGCAGAUUUAUUAUUUGUGCGAAUGCAUUAAUAACAAUUCUAUUAAGCUGAUGCUUCAAUUUUUGAAGUUAUU